rnacentral:rRNA from 1 species
UACAGAGGUCUCGAGCGUUGUUCGGAUUCAUUGGGCGUAAAGGGCGCGUAGGCUGCGGGGUAAGUCAGGUGUGAAAUCUCAGGGCUCAACUCUGAAAUUGCACUUGAUACUGCUCUGCUAGAGGACUGGAGAGGAGAUUGGAAUUCACGGUGUAGCAGUGAAAUGCGUAGAUAUCGUGAGGAAGACCGGUGGCGAAGGCGGAUCUCUGGACAGUUCCUGACGCUGAGGCGCGAAGGCCAGGGGAGCAAACGGG